UGGCUCAGAUUGAACGCUGGCGGCAGGCCUAACACAUGCAAGUCGAGCGGAUGACGGGAGCUUGCUCCUUGAUUCAGCGGCGGACGGGUGAGUAAUGCCUAGGAAUCUGCCUGGUAGUGGGGGACAACGUUUCGAAAGGAACGCUAAUACCGCAUACGUCCUACGGGAGAAAGCAGGGGACCUUCGGGCCUUGCGCUAUCAGAUGAGCCUAGGUCGGAUUAGCUAGUUGGUGGGGUAAUGGCUCACCAAGGCGACGAUCCGUAACUGGUCUGAGAGGAUGAUCAGUCACACUGGAACUGAGACACGGUCCAGACUCCUACGGGAGGCAGCAGUGGGGAAUAUUGGACAAUGGGCGAAAGCCUGAUCCAGCCAUGCCGCGUGUGUGAAGAAGGUCUUCGGAUUGUAAAGCACUUUAAGUUGGGAGGAAGGGCAGUAAGUUAAUACCUUGCUGUUUUGACGUUACCGACAGAAUAAGCACCGGCUAACUCUGUGCCAGCAGCCGCGGUAAUACAGAGGGUGCAAGCGUUAAUCGGAAUUACUGGGCGUAAAGCGCGCGUAGGUGGUUUGUUAAGUUGGAUGUGAAAGCCCCGGGCUCAACCUGGGAACUGCAUCCAAAACUGGCAAGCUAGAGUACGGUAGAGGGUGGUGGAAUUUCCUGUGUAGCGGUGAAAUGCGUAGAUAUAGGAAGGAACACCAGUGGCGAAGGCGACCACCUGGACUGAUACUGACACUGAG
rnacentral:rRNA from 1 species